rnacentral:rRNA from 1 species
GACGAACGCUGGCGGCGUGCUUAACACAUGCAAGUCGAACGGAAAGGCCCUGCUUUUGUGGGGUGCUCGAGUGGCGAACGGGUGAGUAACACGUGAGUAACCUGCCCUUGACUUUGGGAUAACUUCAGGAAACUGGGGCUAAUACCGUAUAGGAGCUCCUGCUGCAUGGUGGGGGUUGGAAAGUUUCGGCGGGUGGGGCUGGACUGGCGGCUUAUCAGCUUGUUGGUGGGGUAGUGGCUUACCAAGGCAUUGACGGGUAGCCGGCCUGAGAGGGUGACCGGCCACAUGGGGACUGAGAGACGGCCCAGACUCCUACGGGAGGCAGCAGUGGGGAAUAUUGCACAAUGGGCGGAAGCCUGAUGCAGCAACGCCGCGUGCGUGAUGACGGCCUUCGGGUUGUAAACCGCUUUCGCCUGUGACGAAGCGUGAGUGACGGUAAUGGGUAAAGAAGCACCGGCUAACUACGUG